AAGUUAAUUGAUUGCUUUAUUGUAUGUAGUGGUUAGUCCGCUUUUAAUGGUUUAUUUUGGAUUUAACAAAUUUUUUAUAAGUGUUAGUAGGUGUAGAAAGAAAACUUUAUUGUUUAAGCUAGAGUGAAAAAGUACCGUGAGGGAAAGUAAUUAGGUAUUUAAGCUUUUUUUUAGUAGGGGUUAGAUCCUGUACCUUUUGCAUCAUGGUUUUUUAAGAGGUUUUUUGAAUAAAGUUGGCCCGAAAAAAGACGAGCUAUUUUUUGGCUUGCGUCAUCGUUGUAAAGAUGUGCUGAGACUAAGAAAUAGGAGUGAUAUUCUUUUCGCGUUUUUUGAUAGCUGGUUAGUCGGGAAAAGCAUUAGAGUGCUGGCUUAACUUGUGGUUCUGGCUGUUGACAGUGUCGUGUUACGGCAUUGAGUUGAGCGGGGAGCAUUGUUGGGUUAAGUCUUGCGUAAAAAAGGAUUAGCUUUUUUACGUUGUUAAAGAGUGCAUAGUUGAUAGCAUAAUAAUAGUUUAGUAGGCUUGGAGUUAGCCACCUUUCAAGUUUGUUUUAAGAUAUUUAUUUAUUUUUAGCUAAAAAUUUGUAUAUGCGUUUUUAAGUGAUUUAGUUGUGAGUACCGAUUUUAUUGAUAUAAUUAAGUUUAUUUGUGGGAUAAUGAGGAAAUGAGUAUUUAUUUUCAUUUAGUUUGUUUUUGCUUGUUAAAGUAAGUAAACUAAAGUUCAAUUUAUGUGUUGUAUGGAAAAAGUAUAAAUCUAGAAAAGGAACUCGGCAAAUGUCGGCCUCGCCUGUUUAGCAAAAACAUGGCUCCUCGGUUAUUUAAGUAAAUGGGGAGUCGGACCUGCCCGGUGACCUAAGGGUUAAACGGCCGCGGUACACUGACCGUGCAAAGGUAGCACAAUCACUUGCCUUUUAAUUGGAGGCUGGUAUGAAUGGUUUGACGAGGGCUGAGCUGUCUCUUCUGGAAUAUUUAAAAAUUAACUUCUAAGUGAAAAGGCUUAGAUUUAGCUGAGGGACGAGAAGACCCCGUUGAGCUUUAGUGUGGGGUAAAAGGCUUUGUCCCUACUUUAGGUAGAGGGCUAGAAUUUAUUUUUACAUCUUUAGUUGGGGUGACUGGGGAACAAUGAGUAGCUUCUCUGUUUUUAUUGAGUUUAAUUCGGUUUACUGACUGAUGAUCCGGCAUUGUUGAUUAUCGGAAAAAGUUACCACGGGGAUAACAGCGUAAUCUUUCUGGAGAGUUCACAUUGAAAGGAGGGUUUGCGACCUCGAUGUUGGAUUAAGGUGUCCUGAGGGUGUAGCAGCUUUCGUUGGUUGGUCUGUUCGACCAUAAAAACCUUACAUGAUCUGAGUUCAGACCGGCGUAAGCCAGGUUGGUUUCUAUCUUCAGUUUGUUAUAUUCCUUUGACUAGUACGAAAGGCCGUUAUUAAGGCGAAUAUUUAAUUUGUUAAAACUGAAUUUAUCUAAGUUUGGGAUUAAGUAGUGUUUUGGGUAUUU